rnacentral:rRNA from 1 species
CCUACGGGGGGCAGCAGUGGGGAAUAUUGGACAAUGGGUGAAAGCCUGAUCCAGCCAUGCCGCGUGUGUGAAGAAGGCCUUCGGGUUGUAAAGCACUUUCAGCGGGGAAGAAAGCCUUGGGGCUAAUACCCUCGAGGAAGGACAUCACCUACAGAAGAAGCACCGGCUAACUCCGUGCCAGCAGCCGCGGUAAUACGGAGGGUGCGAGCGUUAAUCGGAAUUACUGGGCGUAAAGCGCGCGUAGGCGGUCUGAUAAGCCGGUUGUGAAAGCCCCGGGCUCAACCUGGGAACGGCAUCCGGAACUGUCAGGCUAGAGUGCAGGAGAGGAAGGUAGAAUUCCCGGUGUAGCGGUGAAAUGCGUAGAGAUCGGGAGGAAUACCAGUGGCGAAGGCGGCCUUCUGGACUGACACUGACGCUGAGGUGCGAAAGCGUGGGUAGCAAACAGGAUUAGAUACCCCAGUAGUC